CAGUAAGGGCAAGAGAUGAGACUCAACUCUCCUCACUGCCUUUAAACAACACGAAGGAAACAGUCCUGGAGGGAGGCACAGGAGAAUGCAGCAUCAGUCACCUGGAAGAUG
rnacentral:lncRNA from 1 species